ACCAACCAACCAACCAACCAACUAAUCAAUUAAUCAAUCAAUCAACUAAUCAAUCAAUCAUGAUCAUGAUCAAUCAAUCAUGUUUCCGUCUCAUGUGUUUAAUAUAGGGUCCAAGAUCUUCUUUGUUUCUUUUUCCGUGUUUCAAUUGACCCUAUCCAACGUGUUUAACCAACCAACUAACCAACUAAUCAAUCAAUCAAUCAAUCAAUCAAUCUGUAUGACUGUUUAAUCAUGACAGUUUAUUGAAGGAACAAACUCUCAAUUAUUCAAGAAAAAUUGAAAUUUAAUAUUGUUCUUACGUCACUUCUGAAAAAAAAAAUCCACAUGUUCUCUGAAACUACAAGUACAAUCGACCUCAAAAUUUGCAGUCAGCAGGGCAUACAUGUACUAAACGUUUAUAAAAAAACUUGGUGCAGAUAUCUCUCAAAGCUUUUCCUAGAGAAAAGAAA
rnacentral:lncRNA from 1 species